CGGGGCGUGGCGCAGCCUGGUAGCGCGACUGGUUUGGGACCAGUAGGUCGCAGGUUCGAAUCCUGUCGCCCCGA
rnacentral:tRNA from 1 species